AACGAACGCUGGCGGCAGGCUUAACACAUGCAAGUCGAACGCCCCGCAAGGGGAGUGGCAGACGGGUGAGUAACGCGUGGGAAUCUACCCAGUUCUGCGGAACAACAGUUGGAAACGACUGCUAAUACCGCAUACGCCCUACGGGGGAAAGAUUUAUCGGAAUUGGAUGAGCCCGCGUAAGAUUAGCUAGUUGGUGAGGUAAUGGCUCACCAAGGCGACGAUCUUUAGCUGGUCUGAGAGGAUGAUCAGCCACACUGGGACUGAGACACGGCCCAGACUCCUACGGGAGGCAGCAGUGGGGAAUAUUGGACAAUGGGCGCAAGCCUGAUCCAGCCAUGCCGCGUGAGUGAUGAAGGCCUUAGGGUUGUAAAGCUCUUUCAGUAGGGAAGAUAAUGACGGUACCUACAGAAGAAGCCCCGGCUAACUUCGUGCCAGCCGCCGCCGUAAGAC
rnacentral:rRNA from 1 species